CUUUGCUUCCUGUCUGAGCUCUUUCUAACAUGAAGUGUUUAUUGUUUUAGGACCUGUUUGCUGCCUGCACAAAUGGAACCUGGAAGUUUAAAAAUGCUUAGGCUCUGGUGCUUGGAUCUAACCCAGAAGAAAGCAAUCUUAAAAACUAGAACUGGUUUCUGCUAACAUCAUAGGUACAGAAAGUUGAGGAAUCACAUAUGGACAAAAUAUGACUGAUACCAAGGGCUUUGACAUGCACAGAAAACUGAGAAGGGUAAGCAAAUUUUCAAGAAAAUCUCUCAUGAGGCAUCUGGGAGCAUUUGCCAGCUGCUGAGCAUGGGCAUAAUUGUGUGCAAUGACCACAUCUAAUUGCCUCCCAGCAACAACCGAAGCUCCACGAAUGGAUACCCACUGUGUGGCUGAGCACUGAGAUUCUGCCAAGGAUAAUGAGUCCACUUAAUCUCAUUGGAGAGGAGACUGGUAAUUAUGAACA